rnacentral:rRNA from 1 species
CAGCCGCCACGGUAAUACGAAGGGGGCUAGCGUUGCUCGGAAUGACUGGGCGUAAAGGGCGCGUAGGCGGAUGGCACAGUCAGAUGUGAAAUUCCCGGGCUUAACCUGGGGGCUGCAUUUGAUACGUGUUGUCUAGAGUGAGGAAGAGGGUUGUGGAAUUCCCAGUGUAGAGGUGAAAUUCGUAGAUAUUGGGAAGAACACCGGUGGCGAAGGCGGCAACCUGGUCCUUGACUGACGCUGAGGCGCGGAAGCGUGGGGAGCAAACAGGAUUAGAUACCCCCGUAGUCCCUGUCUCUUAUAC